AUGGACGUGUACACACGCGCUGUCUACAACUUAUUCCGUGAAAGACUCUUUGAAAGCGGCGCCUUCCGAAUCAAACAGUCAACUGAGCAUCCAACGAAGUACUACGUACACCACUACAACCAAGAGAAAAAUUUUGCAUGGUCAAGGCACGAAUUCCAGGUGGUCGCUGAUGAAACAAAUGGCAAGUACGAAUGCGAGUGCAAACUCUUUGAUCAAACAGGACUAUUCUGCCAUCACAUAAUUGCACUGUUGGAACACCUGCGAGUAGCUAUAAUACCAGAUCGGUACAUACUGCAACGAUACACAAGGGAUGCAAAUAGUGACUCGGCAUUCAACCACAGAGACUACAGGAAUACAACUGCAGAUGGUACACUAAUUCAAUACCGCCGCACAAUGCUGCUGAACGAGACACUGAAAACUGUCCAGAAGGGGGUAAAGACAGAUGCAGCUUACAACAGGCUGAUGACAUGCCUGAAACAAGUGCAACCAGAGCUAGAUGAUCUGAACGGUGAUGACAUGGAUUCAACGGAAUGCAAACAAUCAUCUAUAGAUGAAAAUGAAGUUGCCCCUGAAAUGGCAGAACAAAAAGAUCCAGCGAUUGAGAAGUCAAGUAUGGAUGAUGAUCGCGACAAAAUACACCCACCCCUAGUGUGCAAAACAAAAGGUAGAAACAAACUGAGUGCGGCCAUGAAACAAUAA
rnacentral:rRNA from 1 species